ensembl:lncRNA
CAGGUUCAUUCCAUAAAAUUCCCAAUAUUUAACAAAAAAAGAGAGAAGAGUUUCCAAAUGCAACACAUUUUCUGUUUCAUGAGUCCAUUUGUCAUAUCAGCUUGGUGGUGCCAAUUCCAGGAUUAAGUCGCCAGUUCACAAGCAGGCAUCAUUAUAGACUCAAUGGUAAUGGCAUUUUCAGCUACAUAGAGAGCCAGCAAACUGUGAUUCCUCAACUGACCAAUUUGAAUAAUGAGAAGAACCUCCAUUCUGGCCAGGAACCUGAGACAGUCUAUGACACUGUGGAUUUUUUUCAGAUGAACAGUGGCUGUAAAUGCUCUUUCCAUUACUUGCUUCAAUCUACCUUUGUUAUUCUGCCCAGACCCCAUGCUCAGCCCUGGGAACAUGAAAAUCAGCAAGCCACAGUCCCUGUUCUCGCUCCCUCCCAGUCCAGCGUGGAGACAGAUGCAUACAGAGAUGACAGCACAAUGUGAUAAGGCUGUGUGAGCACCUACAAGGGAUGUGCAAAGCUGUCUGCCCACAGGAGUCAGACAAGACUUCUCCAAGGAGGUGAACUUGGAUCUCAGCCUUAAGAGAUGAGUAGAAGUUUGCCAAAGAUGGAGAGCAUCCCAAACAGAACAGAGAUGACCAGGUCAAGAACUUCACGGUGGCAAGUCCCUGGAUACCUGCUGGGCUGAGCAGAAGGAAGCGUCUCCCACCCCCUGCCCUGCUCAACUUCAAGUACUGGGAACCCCCAGCAACAGCAGUCCCACUGGCAGGCAGUGUCUGGAAUCAGUCCUGCUGACCCAAACCAGAUGUGAGCCAUAUUUGGGAAUCCAGCCUAGAAAGCACGCGAAACGAACACCGGCCAUCUGAAUUCAGCAAGCUCAUGUAUUUGGAUGCUCAAAAGCAGCAGUCAUCUAUCAAAGGAAGUGUAUUGGACUAAAUGGAGAGAUUUUUAAUAAGAGGCAAGGGGGUGCACUUUCCCUAAUAAAAAGAGCAGAGAGA